ACUCCUACGGGAGGCAGCAGUGGGGAAUAUUGCACAAUGGGCGAAAGCCUGAUGCAGCAACGCCGCGUGAGGGACGACGGCCUUCGGGUUGUAAACCUCUUUUAGUAGGGAAGAAGCGAAAGUGACGGUACCUGCAGAAAAAGCACCGGCUAACUACGUGCCAGCAGCCGCGGUAAUACGUAGGGUGCAAGCGUUAUCCGGAAUUAUUGGGCGUAAAGAGCUCGUAGGCGGUUUGUCGCGUCUGCCGUGAAAACUGGAGGCUCAACCUCCAGCCUGCGGUGGGUACGGGCAGACUAGAGUGCGGUAGGGGAGAUUGGAAUUCCUGGUGUAGCGGUGGAAUGCGCAGAUAUCAGGAGGAACACCAAUGGCGAAGGCAGAUCUCUGGGCCGUAACUGACGCUGAGGAGCGAAAGCAUGGGGAGCGAACAGGAUUAGAUACCCUGGUAGUCCAUGCCGUAAACGUUGGGAACUAGAUGUAGGGGCCAUUCCACGGUUUCUGUGUCGCAGCUAACGCAUUAAGUUCCCCGCCUGGGGAGUACGGCCGCAAGGCUAAAACUCAAAGGAAUUGACGGGGGCCCGCACAAGCGGCGGAGCAUGCGGAUUAAUUCGAUGCAACGCGAAGAACCUUACCAAGGCUUGACAUAUACCGGAAAAGUUCAGAAAUGUUCUCCCCGCAAGGUCGGUAUACAGGUGGUGCAUGGUUGUCGUCAGCUCGUGUCGUGAGAUGUUGGGUUAAGUCCCGCAACGAGCGCAACCCUCGUUCUAUGUUGCCAGCACGUUAUGGUGGGAACUCAUAGGAGACUGCCGGGGUCAACUCGGA
rnacentral:rRNA from 1 species